rnacentral:tRNA from 1 species
GCACAGGUGGCUGAGCGGUUAAAAGCAUCUGACGGGAGGUUAAUGGUCCCGACGGACUACGGAGGUUCAAAUCCUCCCCUGUGCAC